rnacentral:piRNA from 1 species
ACUGAACUUGGGCUAAAAUCAAAC